AUCAGAAGUGCGAAUGCUGACAUAAGUAACGAUAAAGCGGGUGAAAAGCCCGCUCGCCGGAAGACCAAGGGUUCCUGUCCAACGUUAAUCGGGGCAGGGUGAGUCGACCCCUAAGGCGAGGCCGAAAGGCGUAGUCGAUGGGAAACAGGUUAAUAUUCCUGUACUUGGUGUUACUGCGAAGGGGGGACGGAGAAGGCUAUGUUAGCCGGGCGACGGUUGUCCCGGUUUAAGCAUGUAGGCUGGUUAUCCAGGCAAAUCCGGAUAAUCAAGGCUGAGGUGUGAUGACGAGGCACUACGGUGCUGAAGUAACAAAUGCCCUGCUUCCAGGAAAAGCCUCUAAGCAUCAGGUAACAU
rnacentral:rRNA from 1 species